rnacentral:rRNA from 4 species
UCUGACGGAGCAACGCCGCGUGAGUGAUGAAGGUUUUCGGAUCGUAAAGCUCUGUUGUUAGGGAAGAACAAGUGCAAGAGUAACUGCUUGCACCUUGACGGUACCUAACCAGAAAGCCACGGCUAACUACGUGCCAGCAGCCGCGGUAAUACGUAGGUGGCAAGCGUUGUCCGGAAUUAUUGGGCGUAAAGGGCUCGCAGGCGGUUUCUUAAGUCUGAUGUGAAAGCCCCCGGCUCAACCGGGGAGGGUCAUUGGAAACUGGGAAACUUGAGUGCAGAAGAGGAGAGUGGAAUUCCACGUGUAGCGGUGAAAUGCGUAGAGAUGUGGAGGAACACCAGUGGCGAAGGCGACUCUCUGGUCUGUAACUGACGCUGAGGAGCGAAAGCGUGGGGAGCGAACAGGAUUAGAUACCCUGGUAGUCCACGCCGUAAACGAUGAGUGCUAAGUGUUAGGGGGUUUCCGCCCCUUAGUGCUGCAGCUAACGCAUUAAGCACUCCGCCUGGGGAGUACGGUCGCAAGACUGAAACUCAAAGGAAUUGACGGGGGCCCGCACAAGCGGUGGAGCAUGUGGUUUAAUUCGAAGCAACGCGAAGAACCUUACCAGGUCUUGACAUCCUCUGACAACCCUAGAGAUAGGGCUUUCCCUUCGGGGACAGAGUGACAGGUGGUGCAUGGUUGUCGUCAGCUCGUGUCGUGAGAUGUUGGGUUAAGUCCCGCAACGAGCGCAACCCUUGAUCUUAGUUGCCAGCAUUUAGUUGGGCACUCUAAGGUGACUGCCGGUGACAAACCGGAGGAAGGUG